CUUGACCGACCCCAGCCACAGCGGCUCGCCGGAACGGUCACGCCCGUACGUGGCCAGCAGCGCCUGCGCCUC
rfam:Streptosporangium subroseum strain CGMCC 4.2132 genome assembly, contig: Ga0079903_1118